rnacentral:lncRNA from 1 species
AAUCACUUGAAUCUAGGAGACAGAGGUUGCUUUGAGCCAAGAUCGCGCCAUUGCACUCCAGCCUGGGCAACAAGAGCAAAACUCUGUCUCAAAAAAAUAAAAAAAAUUCUGUGGGUUUUUCCUCUAGUGUCAGCAUAGUAGUCAUGGCCUUUCAUGGGUCUGCUUUUCUAGCCACAUUCCACUUAAGUUUUAUUGAAAACCUCACAAAUGGAACUAGCUCCUCCUAGGUUUUUCUGUGAUCAUUUAGUUUAAAGAAAUUAAAGGUCUGAGGAAAGCAAAGGCCAGGUUUUCGGGUAAACCACCUGAGUGGAAAACUGGGCUGGUGCAAGGCAGUUUUCCAACGUGCUGUGCCCUGCGGCAGGGUAGUUUUCAAUAAAUGUAAAAAAGCAGAAAAAUAUGUCUUAGCUACUCCUUGGUCAAGGUCUCGCCUCCUAAAAGACUGGAAUAAAACUCUCAGCAUCUUUGCUGACA